AACGAACGCUGGCGGCAUGCCUAACACAUGCAAGUCGAACGAAGGCUUCGGCCUUAGUGGCGCACGGGUGCGUAACGCGUGGGAAUCUGCCCUUUGGUUCGGAAUAACAGCUGGAAACGGCUGCUAAUACCGGAUGAUGACGAAAGUCCAAAGAUUUAUCGCCAGAGGAUGAGCCCGCGUUGGAUUAGGUAGUUGGUGGGGUAAAGGCCUACCAAGCCGACGAUCCAUAGCUGGUCUGAGAGGAUGAUCAGCCACACUGGGACUGAGACACGGCCCAGACUCCUACGGGAGGCAGCAGUGGGGAAUAUUGGACAAUGGGCGAAAGCCUGAUCCAGCAAUGCCGCGUGAGUGAUGAAGGCCCUAGGGUUGUAAAGCUCUUUUACCCGGGAAGAUAAUGACUGUACCGGGAGAAUAAGCCCCGGCUAACUCCGUGCCAGCAGCCGCGGUAAUACGGAGGGGGCUAGCGUUGUUCGGAAUUACUGGGCGUAAAGCGCACGUAGGCGGCUUUGUAAGUCAGAGGUGAAAGCCUGGAGCUCAACUCCAGAACUGCCUUUGAGACUGCAUCGCUUGAAUCCAGGAGAGGUCAGUGGAAUUCCGAGUGUAGAGGUGAAAUUCGUAGAUAUUCGGAAGAACACCAGUGGCGAAGGCGGCUGACUGGAC
rnacentral:rRNA from 1 species